GUGGUACACACAAGCCCAUCUAAGGGCUCCAUUUCAUGAACCGGACUUCUUUUUGAUGUGAAACAAAGGAUGUCCAGCUUCAGAGAGCUCUCCCGUGUGGGCUUCUGCAUGCCACGCAGCAGUUCCUGCACAGAACGAGAGCACGCUACGUGGAUCAACCUUGCAGUGGCCUAUUUAUCACUCUGUAACACACUGCCCUCCGUGUUUCUCCACCAGACACGACAUCAAGAAACCUGACCCUGAGCAGGCACCAAACCCAGGCUCCACGAAGGCUUCGCCUUGCUCAGUCCCAUCUCUGAUUUCCAUGGUGCAUCAGAAAAGAAGAGGAUGACUCCUUUGACCCCCCUGCUGUGUGUUCAUUUCAAUCAUCUGCUCUGGGCUCUGCUGGGAGAGGGACGGUUCCACCCAGCCUGCCUGGCCCUGCGUCCCACUCAGCACCAGAGAAAAGCAGCUCAAAAAAUGUCAUGUGCUGGAAAGAAGAAGCAUAUGGAGCUUGAAGAUAUCCAUUGUCUCCAAAUCCUAUACUCAAAGAAUGACCCUUUGUUGCCCUGCACUCAUCACUGGGUAGCAUGGGCUGCUCAUGAGCCUUCCCUUUCGCCUAGGUUGCCAGUAUCAGUACUAUUGUGGGGAACUCAUCCACGCUAACAUAACUGGUCCUUGAAUGAUUUGUUUGCACCCCAGAUCAAUGCAGAAUGAUGAUCAUUCCAUCCAGAGAUGGCCCAAGGGCACGUGCUGCUGCCACACUGCCUAUGUGCACUCACUCCCUGGUGUUACCGCUUCCCUCAACCAAAAUCUGUUUGAAAUAAACUGUAUAUUUUUUCUGGCAAAAAUAAAAAAUAAAGAAGUUCAGAUGCCACCAGAUGGAAAAUGCAACAGCCCUGAGUAAAAUGUUGGUUGUCCUCUAGUCUGAAUUUGCCAACAUACUGCUUCAAGCUCUGGAUCUCUUUCUGCAUUGUUACUCAGACCAAGAAAAUCGUUGCGUUUUAAUCCCCAGCAGGCUCUUAUAGACUGCUUAAAUUGCCCUUUCCCUACCUAUUUUUCAUCCAAAUGCAGCAUUUCCCUGCAUGCGCAC
ensembl:lncRNA